UUUUGAUUUUUUAUUUCAUCUAUUUUGGUUGAGGUUUGAAUAUAGUGUUCUAGAUUUAGAUCUAUUUCAAUUUUGCAUUAUCGAUUUUAGUGAUUUUGUAUAAAGUUUUUUUCGCUGUUAUAUUUUGAAUUUUAUAUUUCAUCUUUAGUGAUUUAUAUUUUUAUUUAUUUAAAACUUAGUUAUGUAUCUAUUUUCUGGAUUUAAA
rnacentral:lncRNA from 1 species